GACUCUCGACAACGGAUAUCUCGGCUCUCGCAUCGAUAAAGAACGUAUUGAAAUGCGAUACUUGGUGUGAAUUGCAGAUCCCGUGAACCAUCGAGUCUUUGAACGCAAGUUGCGCCCGAAGCCAUCAGGCCGAGGGCACGUCUGCCUGGGCGUC
rnacentral:rRNA from 1 species